AUACGGAGGGAGCGAGCGUUAAUCGGAAUUACUGGGCGUAAAGCGCGCGUAGGCGGCUCAGCAAGUCGGUCGUGAAAGCCCGAGGCUCAACCUCGGAACUGCGGUCGAUACUGCUGUGGCUAGAGUCCGGUAGAGGAGAGUGGAAUUCCCGGUGUAGCGGUGGAAUGCGCAGAUAUCGGGAGGAACACCAGCGGCGAAGGCGGCUCUCUGGGCCGGUACUGACGCUGAGGAGCGAAAGCGUGGGGAGCAAACAGGAUUAGAAACCCCAGUAGUCC
rnacentral:rRNA from 1 species